UUUAGUUAAGUGAAUAAAUUAUAUAGAAAUUUAUAAAUAAUAGUAGGUAAAAUUUAAUUAUUAUUUUAUAUUAAGUUUAUAAUUAUAAUUGAAGCUAAAAAAUCUAAUUUAAAAACUAGGAUUAGAUACCCUACUAUUUUAGAAAAAAUGUAAAACUGGAUUAGUAUUAGUUAUAUACUUUAAAAUUUAAAAAUUUGGCGGUGAUUUAAUCUUUUCAGAGGAACUUGUUUUUUAAUCGAUAAACCACGAAAAAUCUUACUUGUUUUAGUUAUUAAAUAACAUUAGUUUGUAUACCAUCAUUAUCAGAUAAUUCUAAGAAGAAAAAUUAUUAAAAAUAAAUUAGUUAUUAAAAUUAGAUCAUGGUGCAGCUUAUAGACAAGAUAAAAUGAGUUACAAUAAAUUAUUUUAUAAAUGGAUUAAUGAGAUAAAAAUUAUUAUGAAGGAGGAUUUGAUAGUAUUAUAAUUUUUAAUAAGUUUAUAAGAAAUAGGCUCUAAAUCAUGUACAUAUCGCCCGUCGCUUUCAUUAUAUAGAU
rnacentral:rRNA from 1 species